AACGAACGCUGGCGGCAUUCCUAACACAUGCAAGUCGAACGAGACCUUCGGGUCUAGUGGCGCACGGGUGCGUAACGCGUGGGAACCUUCCCUUAGGUUCGGAAUAACUCCCCGAAAGGGGUGCUAAUACCGGAUAAUUUCUUCGGACCAAAGAUUUAUCGCCUUUGGAUGGGCCCGCGUUGGAUUAGCUAGUUGGUAGGGUAAAAGCCUACCAAGGCGACGAUCCAUAGCUGGUCUGAGAGGAUGAUCAGCCACACUGGGACUGAGACACGGCCCAGACUCCUACGGGAGGCAGCAGUGGGGAAUAUUGGACAAUGGGCGAAAGCCUGAUCCAGCAAUGCCGCGUGAGUGAUGAAGGCCUUAGGGUUGUAAAGCUCUUUUACCCGGGAUGAUAAUGACAGUACCGGGAGAAUAAGCUCCGGCUAACUCCGUG
rnacentral:rRNA from 1 species